rnacentral:ribozyme from 1 species
UGCCCAGCAACUCCUAUCCCUACCUCCUCGCGGUACUGACCGGGGUACGAGUAACCUUAGGGAAGAUCGGGUAACCAACCCCCGGUGGGAACUUUGGUCGUAUGCUGACAGGGAAGG